rnacentral:rRNA from 1 species
UGGGGAAUAUUGCACAAUGGGCGCAAGCCUGAUGCAGCCAUGCCGCGUGUAUGAAGAAGGCCUUCGGGUUGUAAAGUACUUUCAGCGGGGAGGAAGGUGUUGAGGCUAAUAACCUCAGCAAUUGACGUUACCCGCAGAAGAAGCACCGGCUAACUCCGUGCCAGCAGCCGCGGUAAUACGGAGGGUGCAAGCGUUAAUCGGAAUUACUGGGCGUAAAGCGCACGCAGGCGGUCUGUCAAGUCGGAUGUGAAAGCCCCGGGCUCAACCUGGGAACUGCAUUCGAAACUGGCAGGCUAGAGUCUUGUAGAGGGGGGUAGAAUUCCAGGUGUAGCGGUGAAAUGCGUAGAGAUCUGGAGGAA